rnacentral:rRNA from 1 species
UACGAAAGGGGCUAGCGUUUUUCGGAAUUACUGGGCGUAAAGCGCACGUAGGCGGCCUUGUAAGUUGGGGGUGAAAUCCCCGGGCUCAACCCGGGAACUGCCUUCAAGACUGCAAAGCUCGAGGAUGCGAGAGGUUAGCGGAAUUCCGAGUGUAGAGGUGAAAUUCGUAGAUAUUCGGAAGAACACCAGUGGCGAAGGCGGCUAACUGGCGCAUUUCUGACGCUGAGGUGCGAAAGCGUGGGGAGCAAACAGG